AUUGAACGCUGGCGGCAGGCCUAACACAUGCAAGUCGAACGAGUGGCGGACGGGUGAGUAAUGUCUGGGAAACUGCCUGAUGGAGGGGGAUAACUACUGGAAACGGUAUCUAAUACCGCAUACCAUCAGAUGUGCCCAGAUGGGAUUAGCUUGUUGGUGGGGUAACGGCUCACCAAGGCGACGAUCCCUAGCUGGUCUGAGAGGAGGACCAGCCACACUGGAGCGGAGACGCGGGCCAGACUCCUACGGGAGGCAGAAGUGGGGAAUGUUGCAGAAUGGGCGCAGGCCUGAUGCGGCCAUGCCGCGGAUAUGAAGAAGGCCUUCGGGGUGUAAAGUACUUUCAGAGGGGAGGCGGUACCCGCAGAAGAAGCACCGGCUAACUCCGUGCCAGCCGCCGCGGUAAUAC
rnacentral:rRNA from 1 species